rnacentral:rRNA from 1 species
UAGGGAAUAUUGGUUAAUGGGCGAAAGCCUGAACCAGCAACGCCGCGUGCACGAUGACGGCCUUCGGGUUGUAAAGUGCUUUUUGGAGGGAAGAGGAAGGACGGUACCUCCAGAAUAAGUCGCGGCUACAUACGUGCCAGCAGCCGCGGUAACACGUAGGAGACAAGCGUUAUUCGGAUUUACUGGGCGUAAAGCGCGUGCAGGCGGUCUGACAAGUUGGAUGUGAAAGCUCCGGGCGUAACUGGGAGAGGUCGUUCAAAACUAUCAGACUAGAGAGUGGUAGAGGAAGGCGGCAUUCCGGGUGUAGGUGUGAAAUGCGUAGAUAUCCGGAGGAACACCAGUGGCGAAAGCGGCCUUCUGGACCAAUUCUGACGCUCAGACGCGAAAGCUAGGGUAGCGAACG